rnacentral:rRNA from 1 species
AGAGCGAACGCUGGCGGCAGGCCUAACACAUGCAAGUCGAGCGCCCCGCAAGGGGAGCGGCUAGACGGGAGAGUAACACGUGGGAACGUACCCUUCAGUUCGGAACAACCCAGGGAAACUUGGGCUAAUACCGAAUACGUCCGUAAGGAGAAAGAUUUAUCGCUGAAGGAUCGGCCCGCGUCUGAUUAGCUAGUUGGUGAGGUAACGGCUCACCAAGGCUACGAUCAGUAGCUGGUCUGAGAGGAUGAUCAGCCUCACUGGGACUGAGACACGGCCCAGACUCCUACGGGAGGCAGCAGUGGGGAAUAUUGGACAAUGGGCGCAAGCCUGAUCCAGCCAUGCCGCGUGGAUGAUGAAGGCCUUAGGGGUUGUAAAGUCCUUUCGACGGGGAAGAUAAUGACGGUACCCGUAGAAGAAGCCCGGCUAACUUCGUGCCAGCAGCCGC